AUUGCCUUGCAUUUCAUAAAGACUGAGGGGGUUCUGUACUAUGGAAAACUGAUCUUGAAGACUGAGAUGCCUAUGAAAUGAGAAAGACUAAAUAGAUAACAUCCAUGGAGAAAUAGGAGGAUGGGGCUAGAGUUACUGUACUGGUAAUAUAGCCAGAUUUAUGUAGUGAGAACCAAACUGUUGGAAAAAAAUCAAUAAAUAUGAUACUUCAAGCAAGUAUAUAAAUAACAGCUAAAACAAAAGAGAACUGAAAUGAGAAUGUGACACCCUAGAACAGCUGACAUGGGACAAAAAUACCUUGGAACCCACACUCCGAGUCAAGAAAAAAUCAGCAUUUAUUUCAGAGCCUUGCCUCUGUAUGGGUUGGAGGAGUCUUGCCUGUGAAAUGUUUCCAAGAGUACAAGCCCAGUAGCAGCACUGAUUGCAAAAGAGUUUUCUUCACUAUCCUCUGGCAUUCAGAGAAUUGCUUUGUAGACAUAUUGAUUGACGGCCAUCUAUCCACACAUCAGGCAUUCUAAAUGGCUCCCUUCUGGACUAUCUCAGGAGAAGAAAUAUUCAUUAGCCCUUCAAAACACAACACUGAGGACAACUCUGUCAAAGAAGAUAUUUCUAUGCACAGCGAAAGUCAAAAAUUACAUUAUUCCUGGGAAACACACUCGCUUCAGCCUGCACCAACCAAAAUGACUGCUCAAAGGCCAUUCAGCCCCUUUAUCACUGUGGCUCAACUUUGAUUUUCUUCCCAGUUCAUCCAUGAUUCAGACUUCUUCUGUUUCAGGAGCUUUGCCCAUGCGUUCUGCCACCUUCUGCCAGGAAUUACACCUGUCCCACCCCGUCAAGUCUCCUGAAUGUCCAGAGACAGGGGUCUCCCUGUGUUGCCCAGAAUGGUCUUGAACUCCUGGUCUUCAAGCAAUCUUCCUGCCUUGGUCUCUCAAAGUGCUGGGAUUACAAGUGUGAGCCACCAUACCCGGUCAUAGCGCUCUUAUAAAAUGCAUCAUCAUAUUUAUUUUAUAAAUUCAGAAACAGAGGUCUGUAUAGAGAAGUUUUGAAGUUACUAGGGACCUGAAAAUCAUACUGAAGAUGUCUGCAACUAAAAACUCGAAGAGUUCCGAGGCUAGAGGGGUCAGGAGAUGAAUAAAAACGUUAGUCCCAGCUGAUCACAAUGAGGUUAAUCACAAUACUAAUUAAAAAUACUACAGAUCCUAGGACAAUGGUCAGAAGAAGAGUGACUAUACUUUCCUGUUUGCCCUUGGAAAAUCGAGGGCUGACUUUUCUACGUGCUCAGAUAACCUAAAUUGAUAGAGAGAAAGCUAGCAGAGGAUAAGAUAAACUAGUUAACUGUAAAUAAGAUUUUGCUGUUGGAGAAUCUUCUUGUUGCUCUGGUUUUAGAUAGCGGAGGAAGCCAAAAAAUAUCUGCUUUAAGUUACCAGGAGUUGAAGUUCAUCCCUGCUGAAGUUAACAGGUUGCUUCUCUUUUUCUGGUGUAUUCUUACUUUACUGGCGAAGAGAAAAUAAAUUAAUACCUUAUUGUUAAAA